UAUAAAUUUUUUUAAAGUUGUUAUAACUUUGGUAUGCUUGGACCUAGAGUCUUGAAACUUGACAUGAAGGUUGGCCAUAACUAGUUAGUAACCACUGGUCAUUUCAAGGUCAUUCAUUUGAAGGUCAAGGUCACUGUGACCUUGAAUGUAAAAAUGUUAAAGUUCUUAUUUCAUGGUAUAACUUUGGUAUGCUUGGACCUAGAGUCUUCAAACUUGACAUGAAGGUUGGCCAGGAUUAACAGAUGACCACUGGUCAUUUCAAGGUCAUUCAUUUGAAGGUCAAGGUCACUGUGACCUUCAAUAUAAAAAAUGUUAAAGUUGUUAUAACUUUGGUAUGCUUGGACCUAGAGUCUUGAAACUUGACAUGAAGGUUGGCCAUAACUAGUUAGUAACCACUGGUCAUUUCAAGGUCAUUCAUUUGAAGGUCAAGGUCACUGUGACCUUGAAUGUAAAAAUGUUAAAGUUCUUAUUUCAUGGUAUAACUUUGGUAUGCUUGGACCUAGAGUCUUCAAACUUGACAUGAAGGUUGGCCAGGAUUAACAGAUGACCACUGGUCAUUUCAAGGUCAUUCAGUUGAAGGUGAAGGUCACUGUGACCUUCAAUAUAAAAAUGUUAAAGUUGUUAUAACUUUGGUAUGCUUGGACCUAGAGUCUUGAAACUUGACAUGAAGGUUGGCCAGAACUAGUAAGUAACCACUGGACAUUUCAAGGUCAUUCAUUUGAAGGUCAAGGUCACUGUGACCUUGAAUGUAAAAAUGUUAAAGUUGUUAUAACUUUGGUAUGCUUGGACCUAGAGUCUUGAAACUUGACAUGAAGGUUGGCCAGAACUAGUAAGUAACCACUGGACAUUUCAAGGUCAUUCAUUUGAAGGUCAAGGUCACUGUGACCUUGAAUGUAAAAAUGUUAAAGUUCUUAUUUCAUGUUAUAACUUUGGUAUGCUUGUACCUAGAGUCUUCAAACUUGAAAUAAAGAUUGGCCAGUACUAGAAGAUGACCACUGGUCAUUUCAAUGUCAUUCAUUUGAAGGUCAAGGUCACUGUGACCUUAAAUGUUAAAAUGUUAAAAUUGUUAUAACUUUGGUAUGCUUGGACAUAGAGUCUUCAAACUUGACAUGAAGGUUUGCAAGCACACUUAGAUGACCACUGGUCAUUUCAAGGUCAUUCAUUCUAAGGUCAAGGUCACUGUGACCUUGAAUGUAAAAAUGUUAAAGUUCUUAUAACUUUGGUAGGUAAAAAUGUUAAAGUUCUUAUUCCAUGUUAUAACUUUGGUAUGCUUGUACCUAGAGUCUUCAAACUUGACAUAAAGGUUGGCCAGUACUAGAAGAUCACCACUGCUCAUUUCAAUGUCAUUCAUUUGAAGGUCAAGGUCACUGUGACCUUCAAUGUUAAAAUGUUAAAAUUGUUAUAACUUUGGUAUGCUUGGACCUAGAAUCUCAAACUUGACGUAAAGGUUUGCAAGCACACUUAGAUGACCACUGGUCAUUUCAAGGUCAUUCAUUUCAAUGUCAUUCAUUUGAAGGUCAAGGUCACUGUGAACUUAAAUGUUAAAAUGUUAAAAUUGUUGUAACUUUGGUAUGCUUGGACCUAGAAUCUCAAACUUGACGUAAAGGUUUGCAAGCACACUUAGAUGACCACUGGUCAUUUCAAGGUAAUUCAUUUGAAGGUCGAGGUCACUGUGACCUUGGAUGUAAAUAUGUUAAAGUUGUUAAUACUUUGGUAUGCUUAGACCUAGAGUCUUCAAACUUGAUAUGAAGGUUGGCCAGAACUAGUAGAUGACCACUGGUCAUUUUAAGGUCAAGGUCACCGUGACCUUGAAUGUAAAAAUGUUAAAAUUCUUAUUUCAUGGUAUAACUUUCUUAUGCUUGGACUUACAGUCUUCAAGUUUAUUUUCUUACAUUUGAUAAUGAAAUUGAUGGAAACUUCAAACAAUAUGUUACUAAUUUGCUAAUAAAAAAAUUGAGAUCAAACUUUCCUAAUUGUCAAUUCAAGUUCAUAUUUGUGACCUUAAAUGUUAUUGUUGUUCAUGUAUAUGCAUGCAUUCAAAACAUAACACAAGGUUUGCUCAUGCCUUGAAAAGUACUUACAUUUCAUUUUGACCUUUGAACAAUAUUUCAGUAAUUUAAGUAUUGCAUUGACAAAAACACGAAAGGUACUUUCCUGUCAUUUAAAUAAAAAAUCCGGCUUCAAUGCGGUCAUCUCCGACCGCGGAACUCUUGUUGAAAAUAAGAAUUAACCUCCAAAAACUCUUUAUUUCAUCAAAAUGAGGACAUAACAUACAAUUCUUGGCAAGAAUGUCUUAUGAAUCAUUACCUGAAUACAAUAAUUAGAUGGACACUGGACAGUUAUGUAGAUUGAUGUUGUGAUUAAACAUGGCUUUCGAUUUUGUUAUGCAGGAGAUGAUGCCAAUGAUUCACCAUUAGAAGACAUGACGGUAACAGUGGUCCAGAACUUGGCUCAACCAGAGUUCCACCAACAUUCCAACAUGCACACAACAAGCAAAACAUACCAAGAGUCAGCCAGACCAUAAUGGAGCUUAAGGAUUGUGCUGUGGAUGCGGCCUGUGCAGUUACGGGAGAAAGUCACUGUCUUGGGCAUUGCGGUCUGGUCUGGAUGAACCUUACCUGACUCCGGGUUUGUUUACUCCUCAAUCCUACUCUGUGUCCUGGACCGCGGCCGCAGAGGACGAUCCAUCAACAUCCUGAAAGGUCAACACUUCAUCAAGCUAGGAAAUUCGAUCCUGAUAGUCAUCCCCAGCCAGUUCAUGUGUCAACGAGCGCAAAUUGUGAAAGAUGGCUUGGAAAAAUGGGAGUUCAAAGCGCCACCUUGCAACAAACAGCGCGAUGGAAACAGCUGUGGAGUGUUUGCAUUGAUGACUGCCGAAUGUUUGGUCAGGAAAAAAGCAUCCCACAAUGUUUCGACAGGCCCAUGUUUCAGUUUAUCUAGACUAGUCGUGAAACUCGGACUUCUGAUUCAUGGAGUUUGGCAAACAUAUCUGUGCAACUGGAUCACUCCACUGUAAAGACCCGCACGGCAUUAAAAUGGAUAUCAUGCGGCGUUUGCAAACGAUGGCUGCAUGAGGUCUGCGUCUCACAACCUACAUCCCAAGAUAGCUUUGUGUGUGAUGUUUGUAUUGCACAAUAUAGUUGAUGUAUUGAAACCAGGCUUUAAAAAUAAAACAAGGUCAACUACAAUUUAAAACUAGAAAUGGCACGGCAGAGGCCGACGAGUAUCCCCACGCCGCAUGUUUGACCCAGGGGCCCUAGGGUUGGUAAUGGGGCCAUGCAUAGUCGAGGCUUUGUUGAUUCUGGUGGCGUGAAAAUGUUAAAAUGGAAGUCCUUAAUACAAGAGUAAAAUUCACUUGGAUUUUGGUCCUCAUCCUGCUCUCCUAACAAAUCUAAUACUGAAUCAACUUCACUGACGUCCAUUAUGUACAUAUCAUCCUCAUGAGAAUGAGAUGGCUGAAAAUGCUCUGCCAAUCUUCUUGCUUCUGCUUUGGAAAAGUUAUGUUUUGAGGUUAAAUGGUUGACUAAAUAGUAGCGUCUCAGAAAUUUUCUAUCGCAAUCUUGUACACAACAAUGAAAAUGUUAAAUUUCAUGUCGUGUCUUUGAUGUGCCUGUUCAAGAGUCCUUUUUGCUUUAAAUUGUUUGUCACAUUUUUCACACUUGAACAUUUUGAAAGAUUUUCAGUAAUGAGUCUAAAAGUGUGAUUGAACAGAUUGAAAGUCUCAGCCCUUUUAUAGAUUCUUGAGGCUCUAUUCCAUGAGUUUCUCAUGCUUUUUAUGCUUGACUGCAUUCUAUCUCUUCUCUCAAAUACAGGUGUCCCUUUGCACCAAUAUUUUAUAAUCCCUUGUAUAAACAUUAGAUGGAUGAGCUAAACCAUUUCACAGAUGAGUAAACACAAAUAAUUGACUACUUAAUACAUCUCUGCGCCACUACUGUGUAACUCUAUAUAUGUUUUCAAUACACAAGCUUCAUUGUUGAAUAAUUCCUUUGUCUGAUGAAAAUGCUUGCACUUCUUCUGAAUGGGUAGAUAACCUCUUAAUAGAUUUCGAAAUCUAACUGCGGACCAUAAGUUCAAGGUCUAGGUCACAGGGGUCAAAACUUUUUAAUGCGCAUUGAAAGGUCUUGUCCAGAUACACAUGCAUACCAAAUAUGAAAGCAAUAUCUGAAGGAACACAGUAGGUAUGAGCCUUUUUCGAAUCAUGUUCGCAGAUUUCGAAACCUAAACGCUGGCCUAAAGUUCAAGGUCACAGGGGUCAAAAAUUGUAUGCGCAUGGUAAGGUGUUGUCCAGAUACACAUGCAUACCAAACAUUAAAACAAUAUCUGAAGGGACACAGUAGUUAUGAGCCUUUUUCAAAUCGCGGUCGCAGAUUUAGAAACCUGAACGCUGACCUCAAGUUCAAGGUAGCAUGUACAAAAUUGUAUGCGCAUGGAAAGGUGUUGUCUAGAUACACAUACAUACCAAAUAUGACAGCAAUAUCUGAAGGGACACAGUAGUUAUGAGCCUUUUUCGAAUCGCGGUCACAGAUUUCAAAACCUGAAAACUGGCCCAAAGUUCAAGGUCAAAGCAUGGAAAGGUGUUGUCCAGAUACACAUGCAUACCAAAUAUAAAAGCAAUAUCUGAAGGGACACAGUAGUUAUGAGCCUUUUUCGAAUCGCAGUCGCAGAUUUCGAAACCUGAAAUCUACCCCCAAGUUCAAGGUCAUAGGGGUAAAAAAUUGUGUGAGGAUGGAAAGGUGUUGUCUAGAUACACAUACAUACCAAAUAUGAAAGCAAUAUCUGAAGGGACACAGUAGUUAUGAACCUUUUUCAAAUCGUGGUCACAGAUUUCGAAACCUUAAAACUGACCCAAAGUUCAAGGUCAAGGGGUAAAAAAUUGUAUGCGCGUGGAUAGGUGGCGUCUAGACACAUGUACAUACCAAAUAUGAAAGCAAUAUAUGAAGGGACACAGUAGUUAUGAGCCUUUUUCGAAUCGCGGUCGCAGGAAAAUCUCUGACCCGGCCCCACCCUGACCCCAAUAACUUUUGGCCCAGGGGUCAGAUCAAAAUUCCGUCGCUGUCACUGUCGCAUAUAUGCUCAUAGCUACCAUGUGUGUAAGUUUCAAGGUUCUAGUGCUAAUAGUGUAGGAGAUAAUAGUGUCCAGGACGGACAGAUAGACAGACGGCGGAGCUAAACACAAUGUCUCCACGCUUUAAAAAAAACGUGGGGAUAAAAAAAAGGUAAAGAUGAGCACUAAAAUUUUGUGUGUACAUGGUUUACCUGCAUAAAUAGUUAGAAAUUGCAUAUAUAUUAAAAUUUUAGAACAACAAAGUAAAUGUUGAAAAUGGUUCAUGAUAGUUCUAUGUAUAUUGUUAAAUCACUCAUUUUAGGGCAAUUAUAAUUUUUUGUUUAAAAAGGCAAUCUUACUCAACAUCUGCGGAUUUAAGGUGAUACAUGUAUUGAUACUGAUUUUAAGUUGAUGCCAUGUUUUAUACAGAUAACUUGAAUGAACCGAUAGUUUUCAAUUCAUUGCUUUGUAACUGAAAUAAUAAAUUUUUCACCACCUU